rnacentral:lncRNA from 1 species
CUACAGGUAGUUGCCCAAACCUAAAGUAGUGAGAAAGGAAUGUUUGUUAUAAAUCCGUGUUCUAUAUGAAAAAUAUAAAAAGCAAAAUAAAGACAAAUCGAUGGAUUAAAACAUGGAAAAAUGUUAGCAAUAGAAAAUAAAGGCCGAAGAUAAUGCUCUUACCAGUUAGCAUUCUAGAACCCUUCCUCAUUGUCAGGAUAUGUGCAAAGUCAACAAAGUUGAAAAACUAUCUUGCGAUAGACGGUUUAAGAGGACAUUAGACCUUAGAUCAAUAACAACUUCAUGGUCGACAACUAUGUGUGGGUACUUGUUCUAAGAGGUAUAAAAGCCUCUGGUCUCGAAGUGAUCGCCAUCAAUGAUGUUUGAUCCAAGAUGCUGAAUAUCUCUAGCACGCCCGGAUCCUACAACGGAAGCAAAAACGAAGAAAGAUACAAGUCCAAUUGAUUAAGGUUUUAUUACACAUAAAGUUUGGAAGCUAGUGAAAGAAAAUAUAGCAGAUGAGAGCAAAUGAUUUCAAAAAAGCCGUCGUUCAUAAAUGUCAAGUGAAAAGAGCAAACCUGAGCAUCAACAAAUAAGCAAUUAAAGCUGCUAGGUUGGUCAGGGAUCCAUACACGGCAGGCAUGAACUUCUUGAUGUCCUUAAUCACAAAUGUCAUUGUGCUGCAAAAUAAAAAGAUGCAAGGGAAAGAGAGACAAGAAUAGAGUGAACUAAGAGGGCUAGCUGAAUUUAAAAAGACAGUAAGGCUAUUUUGGCCACUCUUACAAACAAAAAUGAACCAAAUAAGAGACAAUAAAGCUUAAGCAAAAGAUCUAUUGUCCACUUGAAAGAAUUGAUUAUGUUUAAACAUAUGUCAUUCAUUAAUGUAAUUUAUCCAUGAAUGGAAGAUCUUCUGCUAGAAAACAUAUGAGCAGUGUUGUAUAUUUAUUUCCUUAUGAGAGAUUAGAUGAGUAAUUAUAUGUGGAAAGAGACAGUGUAAUAGGUGUUGGACAUGCAUGGAUCUUCACUAUUUAAAGUCUAGAUAUAUGUAAGUGUGAUUGAUUGUGCUUAUAAAGAUGAUGAAUAUACAUAACAGUAGGAGAAUGAAUGAUAUCCAACAGAGGCAGAAUUACGCUAGCAUCUUUCUUUUAGGACUUUAUUUAGGAGACCAUGCAUGGUUGGAGAAUGUAGAAAUCUGCAACUGAAAUCUAUUUCCUUGCUUUGGUCUGGAGUGGCACAAAAUUAUAGACAUGUUUGUUUUAACCAUGGAUCAUGGAUUUGUUGGACUGCUUUGAUAUUUGUG